rnacentral:lncRNA from 1 species
UGUUCAAGAAAAGGUUUAUUUGCUUUAGGAUGACCACAGCUGGAAAACUCUGUAUAUCAGAAUGACCGAAGUCCUUUCUGUAUUUGUGUGUGUUUAAGGUCAGCCAUCUAUCUGCCUGCCUUGAAAAGACUGGGAAUAUCCUUCUUGAAAAGCAACUGAAUGCACGUGAGAAAAGCUCUUCCAGUUCUGAACCAUCAGAAGUUUCUGGCAGGCUUUUUAUUAUGUGCUAGGGUGGGGAUUUGACUUUGUGUAUAUAGACUCUCGAUUACUCAGGUUUUCAGACUGACACCUCAGUGCUCCUGAAUUUAAAAACAAAACAAAACAAAACACAAGACAACGACAUUCUGUUCCAGCUUGCCAGAACCCCGGCCCUGAGCUUCCUGUUUUUAGCCUUGUCCUGUUUUUUAGGCCUUUGAACUCUGACUCCCUGGCUUUGACCCUGGUGCUGGCUAAGGACUUUGAAACUUCUUGCCGCAUCUGAUGUUGUCCUGACUUUUCUGUCAACCUAGGCCCUGCCGGCCUCACUCCCACCCCCAUGUUUGCUUUGGCCUCUGCAAGCAAAGGUCUGGGCCUGACUACAUUGUAUGUUAUUGAUUCUGUCAUCCCCAGGCUGGGAGCUCCUGGAGGAAGGAGUUUGAUCAUAUUUAGCUGUAACCCCUGAUAGCAAGGAGGGUGGAGAGAAAUUCCUGGAUCAAGGAGCAGGGACUCACAGUCCAGGGAGGGACCAAAGCAGGUAGCACUGCCUCUGUGGAGGAGCAAGAGCAGCAAGCACAUGGGGCUCCUCUGAGUCAAUGCCCGGGUGAUUGAUGGGUUGUUGCCCAAGUUCAGGUGCUUUUGGUGCAAGUAACAGAAACCAAGAUCUGCAAACUCUGGCUAGCAAGAAAAGAGAGAUACCCACACGUCCAUCAGCAGAUUAGCUGGAUAAACGAAAUGUGGCAGAUACAUACAAUGGAAUGUUAGCCUAGUGACUAACAGGAAUAACGUUCUGAAGCAUGCUACAACUUGGAUGAACCUUGACGACACUAUGCUGGUGAAAUAAGCUAGUCACAAAAGGACAAAUGCUAUGUGAUUCCCCUUACAUGAAAUACCUAGAGCUGUCAAAUUCAUAGUGACAGAAAGAAGAAUAGUGGUUACCAGAGGCUGGGGGAGGAGAGAAUGGUGAGUUAGCAUUUAAUGGGUACAGAGUCUCAGGUUGGGACAAUGAGAAAAGUCUGGAGAUGGAUAGUGGUGAUGUUUGCCUAACAAAGUGAAUGUAGGAUUGUACACAUAAAAAUGUUUAGAAUGGUAAAUUUUGUCUCUCUAUAUAUAUAUAUAUAUACACACACACAUACACA